CACCCAGGACGGUGGAUCACUCGGCUCGUGGGUCGAUGAAGAACGCAGCAAAUUGCGCGUCGACAUGUGAACUGCAGGACACAUGAACAUCGACGUUUCGAACGCACAUUGCGGUCCAUGGAUUCCGUUCCCGGGCACGUCUGGCUGAGGGUCG
rnacentral:rRNA from 1 species